rnacentral:rRNA from 9 species
AGAGUUUGAUCAUGGCUCAGAUUGAACGCUGGCGGCAGGCCUAACACAUGCAAGUCGAACGGUAACAGGAAGCAGCUUGCUGCUUUGCUGACGAGUGGCGGACGGGUGAGUAAUGUCUGGGAAACUGCCUGAUGGAGGGGGAUAACUACUGGAAACGGUGGCUAAUACCGCAUAACGUCGCAAGACCAAAGAGGGGGACCUUCGGGCCUCUUGCCAUCAGAUGUGCCCAGAUGGGAUUAGCUUGUUGGUGAGGUAACGGCUCACCAAGGCGACGAUCCCUAGCUGGUCUGAGAGGAUGACCAGCCACACUGGAACUGAGACACGGUCCAGACUCCUACGGGAGGCAGCAGUGGGGAAUAUUGCACAAUGGGCGCAAGCCUGAUGCAGCCAUGCCGCGUGUAUGAAGAAGGCCUUCGGGUUGUAAAGUACUUUCAGCGGGGAGGAAGGUGUUGUGGUUAAUAACCGCAGCAAUUGACGUUACCCGCAGAAGAAGCACCGGCUAACUCCGUGCCAGCAGCCGCGGUAAUACGGAGGGUGCAAGCGUUAAUCGGAAUUACUGGGCGUAAAGCGCACGCAGGCGGUCUGUCAAGUCGGAUGUGAAAUCCCCGGGCUCAACCUGGGAACUGCAUUCGAAACUGGCAGGCUUGAGUCUUGUAGAGGGGGGUAGAAUUCCAGGUGUAGCGGUGAAAUGCGUAGAGAUCUGGAGGAAUACCGGUGGCGAAGGCGGCCCCCUGGACAAAGACUGACGCUCAGGUGCGAAAGCGUGGGGAGCAAACAGGAUUAGAUACCCUGGUAGUCCACGCCGUAAACGAUGUCUACUUGGAGGUUGUGCCCUUGAGGCGUGGCUUCCGGAGCUAACGCGUUAAGUAGACCGCCUGGGGAGUACGGCCGCAAGGUUAAAACUCAAAUGAAUUGACGGGGGCCCGCACAAGCGGUGGAGCAUGUGGUUUAAUUCGAUGCAACGCGAAGAACCUUACCUGGUCUUGACAUCCACGGAAGUUUUCAGAGAUGAGAAUGUGCCUUCGGGAACCGUGAGACAGGUGCUGCAUGGCUGUCGUCAGCUCGUGUUGUGAAAUGUUGGGUUAAGUCCCGCAACGAGCGCAACCCUUAUCCUUUGUUGCCAGCGAUUAGGUCGGGAACUCAAAGGAGACUGCCAGUGAUAAACUGGAGGAAGGUGGGGAUGACGUCAAGUCAUCAUGGCCCUUACGACCAGGGCUACACACGUGCUACAAUGGCGCAUACAAAGAGAAGCGACCUCGCGAGAGCAAGCGGACCUCAUAAAGUGCGUCGUAGUCCGGAUUGGAGUCUGCAACUCGACUCCAUGAAGUCGGAAUCGCUAGUAAUCGUGGAUCAGAAUGCCACGGUGAAUACGUUCCCGGGCCUUGUACACACCGCCCGUCACACCAUGGGAGUGGGUUGCAAAAGAAGUAGGUAGCUUAACCUUCGGGAGGGCGCUUACCACUUUGUGAUUCAUGACUGGGGUGAAGUCGUAACAAGGUAACCGUAGGGGAACCUGCGGUUG